GAUCCUGGCUCAGGAUGAACGCUGGCGGCGCGCCUAACACAUGCAAGUCGAACGAUUAAAGCACCUUCGGUGUGUAUAAGUGGCGAACGGCUGAGUAACACGUGGGCAACCUGCCCCUCUCAUUGGGAUAGCCACGGGAAACCGUGGAUAAUACCGAAUACUUCGAGACUUCCGCAUGGAAGACUCGAGAAAGCUCCGGCGGAGAGGGAUGGGCCCGCGGCCUGUUAGCUUGUUGGUGGGUAACGCU
rnacentral:rRNA from 1 species